AUUGAACGCUGGCGGCAGGCCUAACACAUGCAAGUCGAACGAGUGGCGGACGGGUGAGUAAUGUCUGGGAAACUGCCUGAUGGAGGGGGAUAACUACUGGAAACGGUAGCUAAUACCGCAUACCAUCGGAUGUGCCCAGAUGGGAUUAGCUAGUAGGUGGGGUAAAGGCUCACCUAGGCGACGAUCCCUAGCUGGUCUGAGAGGAUGACCAGCCAAACUGGAACUGGGAACGGGUCCAGACCCCUACGUGGGGCAGCAGGGGGGAUUAUGGCACAAGGGGCGAAAGCCUAAGGCAGCCAGGCCGCGUGUAUGAAGAAGGCCUUCGGUUUGUAAAUGACUUUCGUCGGGGAGGCGUUACCCGCAGAAGAAGCACGGGCUAACUCCGUGCCAGCAGCCGGGGGAUAC
rnacentral:rRNA from 1 species